CAAUAGCGUAUAUUAAAGUUGUUGCGGUUAAAAAGCUCGUAGUUGGAUUUCUGCCGAGGACGACCGGUCCGCCCUCUGGGCGUGCAUCUGGAUCGGCCUGGGCAUCCUCUUGGGGAACGUAGCUGCACUUGACUGUGUGGUGCGGUAUCCAGGACUUUUACUUUGAGGAAAUUAGAGUGUUUCAAGCAGGCAAUUGCCUUGAAUACAUUAGCAUGGAAUAAUAAGAUAGGACCUCGGUUCUAUUUUGUUGGUUUCUAGAGCUGAGGUAAUGAUUAAUAGGGAUAGUUGGGGGCAUUCGUAUUUAACUGUCAGAGGUGAAAUUCUUGGAUUAACGGAAGAUGAACUUCUGCGAAAGCAUCUGCCAAGGAUGUUUUCAUUGAUCAAGAACGAAAGUUAGGGAUCGAAGAUGAUCAGAUACCAU
rnacentral:rRNA from 1 species